AAUGCGCGAAAGCGUGACGGGGCUAUCCCGAGUGCUGUCCGCUGAGGGCAACUUUUGUUCGGUGUAAGGAGCCGGACGAAUAAGGGGAGGGCAAGUCUGGUGUCAGCCGCCGCGGUAAUACCAGCUCCCCGAGUGGUUGGGACGAUUAUUGGGUCUAAAGCGUCCGUAGCCGGUUGGAGAAGUUCUCCGUUAAAUCCAACGAUCCAAUCGUUGGGCUGCGGAGAUUACUCUUCAGCUUGGGGGCGGAGGAUGUCGACGGUAGUCCCGGGGUAGGGGCGAAAUCCUAUAAUCCCGGGAGGACCACCAGUGGCGAAGGCGGUCGACAAAUACGCGCCCGACGGUGAGGGACGAAAGCUGGGGGAGCGAACGGGAUUAGAUACCCCGGUAGUCCCAGCUGUAAACGAUGCAGGCUAGGUGUUAGGACGGCUACGGGCCGUUCUAGUGCCGCAGGGAAGCCGUUAAGUCUGCCACCUGGGAAGUACGGUCGCAAGGCUGAAACUUAAAGGAAUUGGCGGGGGAGCACCACAAGGGGUGAAGCCUGCGGUUUAAUUGGAGUCAACCCCGGGAACCUUACCAGGAGCGACAG
rnacentral:rRNA from 1 species